AUUGAACGCUGGCGGAAUGCUUUACACAUGCAAGUCGAACGGCAGCACGGACUUCGGUCUGGUGGCGAGUGGCGAACGGGUGAGUAAUGCAUCGGAACGUGCCCAAUCGUGGGGGAUAACGUAGCGAAAGUUACGCUAAUACCGCAUACGAUCUAAGGAUGAAAGCGGGGGAUCGCAAGACCUCGCGCGAACGGAGCGGCCGAUGUUAGAUUAGGUAGUUGGUGGGGUAAAGGCUCACCAAGCCGACGAUCUAUAGCUGGUCUGAGAGGAUGAUCAGCCACACUGGGACUGAGACACGGCCCAGACUCCUACGGGAGGCAGCAGUGGGGAAUUUUGGACAAUGGGCGCAAGCCUGAUCCAGCCAUUCCGCGUGCAGGAUGAAGGCCCUCGGGUUGUAAACUGCUUUUGUACAGAACGAAAAGCUCUGGGUUAAUACCCUGGGGUCAUGACGGUACUGUAAGAAUAAGCACCGGCUAACUACGUGCCAGCAGCCGCAGUAAAAC
rnacentral:rRNA from 1 species